UCAAGCUAAUAAGAGCGCAAGGGGAAUGCCUUGGCAUCAGGAGCCGACGAAGGACGUGACAAGCUGCGAUAAGCCACGGGGAGGAGCAAAUAUCCGAUAUAUCCGUGGAUUUCCGAAUGGGGGAACCCGCUCAAGCAAUACUUGAGUAUCGUGCGUUGAAUCAAAUAGGCGUACGAAGGGAACGGCCUGAACUGAAACAUCUAAGUAGGGCCAGGAAAAGACAUCAACCGAGAUUCCGCUAGUAGUGGCGAGCGAACGCGGAAGAGGCCAAACCGGAGGAUUUUAUUCUCCGGGGUUGCGGACAGACAUCAUGACCAGAGGAAGUUAGGAGAACGGCGUGGGAAAGCCGGCCACAGAAGGUGAGAGCCCUGUAUCCGAAAACGAAGACUGGCAGUCUGGAUCCAGAGUACCGCGGGACACGUGAAACCCCGUGGGAAACCGGGUGGACCACCAUCCAAGCCUAAAUACUACCUGAUGACCGAUAGAGGAGCAGUACCGUGAGGGAAAGGUGAAAAGGACCCCGGGAGGGGAGUGAAAGAGAACCUGAAACCUUGUGCUUACAAGCAGUCAAAGCGCGUUAAAGCGUGAUGACGUACUUUUUGUAGAACGGUCCGGCGAGUUAUAGUAACGAGCAAGCUUAAGGUAUUGAGUACCGGAGGCGAAGCGAGAGCGAGUCUGAAUAGGGCGUAAAGUUCGUUGCCAUAGACCCGAAACCGGGUGACCUAUCCAUGAGCAGGCUGAAGUGAGAGUAAAAUCUCAUGGAGGGCCGAACCGACCCCCGUUGCAAUGGUGGCGGAUGACUUGUGGAUAGCGGAGAAAUUCCAAUCGAACUCGGAGAUAGCUGGUUCUCCCCGAAAUAGCUUUAGGGCUAGCGUUAUGUUAGAUUACCGGAGGUAAAGCACUGAAUGGUGGCGGGGCCGAUAAGGUUACCAAGACCUAUCAAACUCUGAAUGCCGGAUAAUUGAUGACUAGCAGUCAGACAGUGUGAGAUAAGUUUCAUUGUCAAAAGGGAAACAGCCCAGACCCACAGCUAAGGUCCCAAAUUCAUGCUAAGUGGAAAACGAUGUGGAAUUGCGAAAACAACCAGGAUGUUGGCUUAGAAGCAGCCACUCAUUAAAAGAGUGCGUAAUAGCUCACUGGUCGAGUGACUCUGCGCGGAAAAUAUAACGGGGCUAAGCAUGAAACCGAAGCUUGGGCUUGUACUUAGGUACAGGGGUAGGGGAGCGUCGAGUAUGGGGUGAAGUCAGAGCGGAAGCACUGGUGGACUGUACUGGAGUGAGAAUGCCGGAAUGAGUAGCGAGAAUUAUGUGGGAAUCAUAAUGGCCGAAAAUCUAAGGUUUCUUGGGGAAGGUUCGUCCGCCCAAGGUAAGUCGGGAGCUAAGCUCAGGCCGCGAGGCGUAGGCGAUGCACAUACGGUAGAAAUUCCGUAACCACCGAAACUUAAACAGAGGGACACUUCGAAAUAGCGGAACCCGGGCGUUGGUUGACCCGGGCGUAAGGGAGCGAAAUUAGAGUAGCGAAGUCCGCGAUGUUCGGAGGCGAGAAAAGCUCUGAGGUAUGCUAAGGUGCCCGUACCGCAAACCGACACAGGUAGAUGAGGAGAGAAUCCUAAGGCCAACGGGAGAAGGGUUGUUAAGGAACUCGGCAAAUUGACCCCGUAACUUCGGGAGAAGGGGUGCUCCAGAGAUGGAGCCGCAGAGAAUCGGCCCAAGCAACUGUUUACCAAAAACACAGGUUUGUGCUAAAUCGAAAGAUGACGUAUACGAGCUGACGCCUGCCCGGUGCUGGAAGGUUAAGAGGAGAUGUGCAAGCAUUGAAUCGAAGCCCCAGUGAACGGCGGCCGUAACUAUAACGGUCCUAAGGUAGCGAAAUUCCUUGUCAGGUAAG
rnacentral:rRNA from 1 species